CCUACGGGAGGCAGCAGUGAGGAAUAUUGGUCAAUGGGCGGAAGCCUGAUGCAGCGACGCCGCGUGAGUGAAGAAGUAUUUCGGUAUGUAAAGCUCUAUCAGCAGGGAAGAAAAUGACGGUACCUGAAUAAGAAGCCCCGGCUAACUACGGGCCAGCAGCAGCGGUAAUACGUAGGGGGCAAGCGUUAUACGGAUUUACUGGGUGUAAAGGGAGCGGAGACGGCAGCACAAGUCUGGAGUGAAAUGCCGGGGCUUAACCCCGGAACUGCUUUGGAAACUGUGCAGCUGGAGUGCAGGAGAGGUCAGUGGAAUUCCUGGUGUAGCGGUGAAAUGCGUAGAUAUCAGGAGGAACACCAGUGGCGAAGGCGGCUUACUGGACUGUAACUGACGUUGAGGCUCGAAAGCGUGGGGAGCAAACAGGAUUAGAUACCCCAGUAGUC
rnacentral:rRNA from 1 species